CAGUCGCCACGGGAAUACGGAGGGUGCAAGCGUUAAUCGGAAUUACUGGGCGUAAAGCGCACGCAGGCGGUCUGACAAGUCAGAUGUGAAAUCCCCGGGCUUAACCUGGGAACUGCAUUUGAAACUGUCAGGCUGGAGUCUUGUAGAGGGGGGUGGAAUUCCAGGUGUAGCGGUGAAAUGCGUAGAGAUCUGGAGGAAUACCGGUGGCGAAGGCGGCCCCCUGGACAAAGACUGACGCUCAGGUGCGAAAGCGUGGGGAGCAAACAGGAUUAGAUACCCGGGUAGUCCCUGUCUCUUAUAC
rnacentral:rRNA from 1 species